GCCGCUGUGGCGCAAUCGGCAGCGCAUACGACUUCUAAAUCCUCACGGAUGCCUAAAUCGUAAGGCUGCAGGUUCGACCCCUGCCAGUGGCU
rnacentral:tRNA from 1 species